rnacentral:rRNA from 1 species
UACGUAGGGUGCGAGCGUUAAUCGGAAUUACUGGGCGUAAAGCGUGCGCAGGCGGUUUUGUAAGCCAGGUGUGAAAUCCCCGGGCUCAACCUGGGAAUGGCAUUUGGGACUGCAAGGCUGGAGUGCGGCAGAGGAGACUGGAAUUCCUGGUGUAGCAGUGAAAUGCGUAGAUAUCGUAAGGAAGACCAGUGGCGAAGGCGGGUCUCUGGACAGUUCCUGACGCUGAGGCACGAAGGUCAGGGGAGCAAACGGG